UGAACGCACAUUGCGCCUUCUGGUAAUCCGGGAGGCAUGCCUGUCUGAGCGUCAUUACAUCAUUCAAUUUACUGUCUUUUGAUAUGUAAGCUGGUUGUGGGUGCUUGACUGCAGUUGUAGUCUCGCCUGUAAUGUAUUGACUGUACUUUUGCGGCCUUAGUUGUAGCAAUAAAAGUUGACGACUUAAAGGUUUGCAUUUGUGAGUCUUGUUUACUUGGUUCUAGCUUCUAGACCAUAUAAGUUUGACCUCAGAUCAGGUAGGAAUACCCGCUGAACUUAA
rnacentral:misc_RNA from 1 species